GACGAACGCUGGCGGCGUGCCUAAUACAUGCAAGUCGAACGCAGUGGGGACGGGGUAGUAACACGUGGGUAACCUCCCAUCAGAGGGGAUAACCCUUGGAAACAGGUGCUAAACCGAUACUGAUGGAUGAACCCGCGGUGCAUUAGCUAGUUGGUGAGGUAACGGCGAACCAAGGCCACGAUGCAUAGCUGACCUGAGAGGGUGAUCGGCCACACUGGAACUGAGACACGGCCCAGACUCCUACGGGAGGCAGCAGUAGGGAAUCUUGGGCAAUGGGCGAAAGUCUGACCGAGCAACGCCGCGUGAGUGAAGAAGGUUUUCGGAUCGUAAAGCUCUGUUGGUAGAGAAGCGGUAUCUACCCAGAAAGCCACGGCUAACUACGUGCCAGCCGCCGCGGUAAUUC
rnacentral:rRNA from 1 species